CUUCCGCCGGCGACCGGCGCACGGGUGAGUAACACGUAUGCAACCUGCCCCUGUCAGGGGGACAACCCGCCGAAAGGCGGGCUAAACCCGCGUAUAUGUCACCGGGGCAUCCCGGAGGCAGGAAAGGCUUCGGCCGGACAGGGAUGGGCAUGCGGCGCAUUAGGCAGUAGGCGGGGUAACGGCCCACCUAACCGACGAUGCGUAGGGGUUCUGAGAGGAAGGUCCCCCACACUGGUACUGAGACACGGACCAGACUCCUACGGAAGGCAGCAG
rnacentral:rRNA from 1 species